rnacentral:lncRNA from 1 species
ACCAAAGUACUGAUAUACAAGAGCAAGGGAGAGGAAAGCGAAAUGAUCUUACCGACUACCAGCUCGAAGCACCCACCUGUCACAAAUGCGCCGGAAACUUGGGUACGCAACGAGUCAACCGGACCUACGAAGAUCCACCGAGUUAGUAACCAACCCACCAAUUCAAAAAUACCUAACUCACAAACCCCACAUAAAUUCCCGAAAUCGGUUUCCCAAAACCGAUCACGAUUACUCGCCGGAAGUCCGAAAAAUCACACCGGGAUGCAGUCG